UCCGAGGCCGAAGACAAAGCGGCCAAGGAGCGCAUCGAGCGAGAGAAGCAAGAGGCCCGAGUAGGCGAGGUGCAGCAAGAGCUCCAGGCUCUCGUCAAGAAACACGAGUCCUUGGAGCUUGACUCUAAGACACAAGGGUCCGAGCUUGCGAAGGCCCUCGAAAGCGCACAACAUGCCAAGGCCGAAGCCCAAAAGGCCCUCCAGGAAAUUGAGGCGGUUAAGAAGAUAGCGCCAGGAGCGUUCGCAGAUCUACCCCGCAGUGUGUCGGAUGCCGCGGAGUUCUACCGGGCCGAGGAGGGGAGCUCGACGGAGAAGUUGUUCUGGUCUCAGUAUACUGGGACCGAAGACCCAAUGCCCUUGAGCAACCAGUUGAAGCAACUGGUCGAGCUUCACAAGGCGGCCGAACAGGCCAUGAAGGGUUUUAUAGUCCGGAUGUGGCCUGGCGAGCCCCUGCCUGGUAGCUACUUCGGUCUGGUGAGGCGGCUUGUGAAUGCCUGCCCAUGGUUUGAAGUCAUAAAGCGGUCCGUCUGCAUCGAGGGUGCGCGCAGGGCUUUUGCCCGGGCGAAGGUGCACUGGGCGAAGCUGGACGCCGAAAAGCUGGUGAAGGAGGGGCCGCCGGAGGGCAAGGAGCAUCGCCACCCCGAAAAGUAUUAUGACAGUGUCCUGAAGGGUGCUCGCCUUGUGGCGGAGGAAUGUGCUAAGGAUGUAAUAUUUGAAUGA
rnacentral:rRNA from 1 species